GCGUGCGAUCAUACCAGCGUUAAUGCACCGGAUCCCAUCAUAACUCCACAGUUGAGCGUGCUUGGGCUAGAGUAGUACUGGGAUGGGUGACCUCUCGGGAAGUCCUAGUGUUGCACCCU
rfam:Picea glauca, whole genome shotgun sequence.